rnacentral:rRNA from 1 species
GAUUGAACGCUGGCGUCAGGCCUAACACAUGCAAGUCGAGCGGAUGAAGGGAGCUUGCUCCUGGCUUCAGCGGCGGACGGGUGAGUAAUGCCUAGGAAUCUGCCUGGUAGUGGGGGAUAACGUCCGGAAACGGGCGCUAAUACCGCAUACGUCCUGAGGGAGAAAGUGGGGGAUCUUCGGACCUCACGCUAUCAGAUGAGCCUAGGUCGGAUUAGCUAGUUGGUGGGGUAAAGGCCUACCAAGGCGACGAUCCGUAACUGGUCUGAGAGGAUGAUCAGUCACACUGGAACUGAGACACGGUCCAGACUCCUACGGGAGGCAGCAGUGGGGAAUAUUGGACAAUGGGCGAAAGCCUGAUCCAGCCAUGCCGCGUGUGUGAAGAAGGUCUUCGGAUUGUAAAGCACUUUAAGUUGGGAGGAAGGGCAGUAAGUUAAUACCUUGCUGUUUUGACGUUACCAACAGAAUAAGCACCGGCUAACUUCGUG